rnacentral:miRNA from 1 species
UGUGUGUCUGUGUGCGUGUGUGUGUGCGCCCAUGUGUGUACACACACACACACACACACACACACACACACACACACACAC